rnacentral:lncRNA from 1 species
CCCUCAGCGCGCCGCUUGGCCCGUCUUUCUAAAUAUUAGUAUAAUAAAUAUAAAUGGCAUCGGAACGUGAGGGGGCAGGGGCCACGUGACCGCUCCACGAAAGCCACUUG